CCUACGGGUGGCAGCAGUGAGGAAUAUUGGUCAAUGGACGAGAGUCUGAACCAGCCAAGUAGCGUGAAGGAUGACUGCCCUAUGGGUUGUAAACUUCUUUUAUAUGGGAAUAAAACGUUCCACGUGUGGGAUUUUGUAUGUACCAUAUGAAUAAGGAUCGGCUAACUCCGUGCCAGCAGCCGCGGUAAUACGGAGGAUCCGAGCGUUAUCCGGAUUUAUUGGGUUUAAAGGGAGCGUAGGUGGAUUGUUAAGUCAGUUGUGAAAGUUUGCGGCUCAACCGUAAAAUUGCAGUUGAAACUGGCAGUCUUGAGUACAGUAGAGGUGGGCUGAAUUCGUGGUGUAGCGGUGAAAUGCUUAGAUAUCACGAAGAACUCCGAUUGCGAAGGCAGUUCACUGGACUGCAACUGACACUGAGGCUCGAAAGUGUGGGUAUCAAACAGGAUUAGAUACCCCUGUAGUC
rnacentral:rRNA from 1 species